rnacentral:rRNA from 1 species
UGGGGAAUAUUGCACAAUGGGCGCAAGCCUGAUGCAGCCAUGCCGCGUGUGUGAAGAAGGCCUUCGGGUUGUAAAGCAUUUUCAGCGAGGAGGAAGGGUAGUGUGUUAAUAGCACAUUGCAUUGACGUUACUCGCAGAAGAAGCACCGGCUAACUCCGUGCCAGCAGCCGCGGUAAUACGGAGGGUGCAAGCGUUAAUCGGAAUUACUGGGCGUAAAGCGCACGCAGGCGGUUUGUUAAGUCAGAUGUGAAAUCCCCGCGCUUAACGUGGGAACUGCAUUUGAAACUGGCAAGCUAGAGUCUUGUAGAGGGGGGUAGAAUUCCAGGUGUAGCGGUGAAAUGCGUAGAGAUCUGGAGGAAUACCGGUGGCGAAGGCGGCCCCCUGGACAAAGACUGACGCUCAGGUGCGAAAGCGUGGGGAGCAAACA